rnacentral:rRNA from 1 species
CCUACGGGAGGCAGCAGUGGGGAAUAUUGCACAAUGGGCGAAAGCCUGAUGCAGCAACGCCGCGUGAAGGAAGAAGGGUUUCGGCUCGUAAAGCCCUAUCGGCAGGGAAGAAGAUGACGGUACCUGACCAAGAAGCCCCGGCUAACUACGUGCCAGCAGCCGCGGUAAUACGUAGGGGGCAAGCGUUAUCCGGAUUUACUGGGUGUAAAGGGGGCGCAGACGGCAAUGCAAGCCAGGAGUGAAAGCCCGGGGCCCCACCCCGGGACU